AGUGAACGCUGGCGGUAGGCCUAACACAUGCAAGUCGAACGGCAGCACAGUAAGAGCUUGCUCUUACGGGUGGCGAGUGGCGGACGGGUGAGGAAUACAUCGGAAUCUACUUUUUCGUGGGGGAUAACGUAGGGAAACUUACGCUAAUACCGCGUACGACCUACGGGUGAAAGCAGGGGAUCUUCGGACCUUGCGCGAUUGAAUGAGCCGAUGUCGGAUUAGCUAGUUGGCGGGGUAAAGGCCCGCCAAGGCGACGAUCCGUAGCUGGUCUGAGAGGAUGAUCAGCCACACUGGAACUGAGACACGGUCCAGACUCCUACGGGAGGCAGCAGUGGGGAAUAUUGGACAAUGGGCGCAAGCCUGAUCCAGCCAUACCGCGUGGGUGAAGAAGGCCUUCGGGUUGUAAAGCCCUUUUGUUGGGAAAGAAAAGCAGCAGGUUAAUACCCCGCUGUUCUGACGGUACCCAAAGAAUAAGCACCGGCUAACUUCGUG
rnacentral:rRNA from 1 species